UACGUAGGGUGCAAGCGUUGUCCGGAAUUAUUGGGCGUAAAGAGCUCGUAGGCGGUUUGUCGCGUCUGCUGUGAAAUCCCGAGGCUCAACCUCGGGCCUGCAGUGGGUACGGGCAGACUAGAGUGCGGUAGGGGAGAUUGGAACUCCUGGUGUAGCGGUGGAAUGCGCAGAUAUCGGGAGGAACACCAGUGGCGAAGGCGAUCAUCUGGGGUUGUUCUGACGCUGAGGAGCGAAAGCUAGGGGAGCAAACGGG
rnacentral:rRNA from 1 species